GCGCUGAGGCGCUGCGCGCAACGCGGGGCGACGAGGCCGAGCGCCCCAGAAACGUGCCCCGGCCCCAAAGCAGGCGGGGGACCUGUGUAAACCCCCCCAGACCACUAAUCCGAGCUCGGGGAGAUGGCGGGCGGAGGUUGGCCGCGGUUCCGAGUACCCGAAUGCCUACCCCAGGCUAGGCUUUGAAUCAGGCUCCUUGCCUUGGUGGGUUUGACCACCGCCCUCCUCUCGCCCUUUUCCGUGGGCGACCCUAGGGCGGAAGCUUGGGUUUCAAAUGCGAAACAUUCGUCUCCUGGAAUCAGAUCUGGCUUCCAGAGGAUAAGACUUUUCUUUCCUGAAAAAAACCAGCGCCUGGAAGAGACCCAAGGCCCAAGCCCUUCUGCCCCUCAGCCGUAUCUGCCCGUAAGUAGAAUGCUGUAUUCUUCACUGAACACAGGAACAAACAUAAAACCCUUUUGGUACAUGAAGCUUUGUGAUUCUAACUGCAUUUUCAGUGUCUUCUGUCCAGUCACUUUGACUACACGCCUCAAGUCUCUCUGCUGUUGCUCAACCAUCAUGAGACAGAGACGUGCAACUCUCUUGGCUACCGUGGGAACGGUUUCCUUGCUACUGUCACACCAACCUUGGUGACUUCAGAGAACAAGGAUACAACAUGGUGGUUUUUAACUCUAAGCUCCAUUCUCCUUACUCCUCAUCCCCUGCCGUCUUCGCCCCACUAGUCAAAGUUGAUGGUUUCUGGCUACUGCUACUGAUGCAGUGUCCUUUCCACCCACUCCUGGCUGUUGUGCUCUGUAGCUGCUGUUGCUGCUGGCAGAACCUGUCAGAAAUGACCAGCUCUGAUGCCCCAGGUGUGGCUAUCAUCUUUGCUGGUGGCAUUUGUCAUCACGACUUUUCACUGCUUGCUGUUGCCUUUAUCAUUCCCACUCUUUUCAUUCCCACCACCCAGAUCUUCUGAGACAGGAAAGCCUCUCUCCAUACAGUGAUGGUAGGUCUAGUCUGGCUCUAGGUUUUAGGGCUUUGCAAAGAAACUUGAAACAGCCAGCUUUCCAGAGGCCGGGCUGAUACUGUAUGAGAGACACUGCUCAGAGUUGUACGUGAACAUGGCUGAUGUCCCUGAGUCAGUAUCCAAGAAUUGGGCCCGAGCAACUCAAACCCAGCUCCCUUCUACCAAAAAAUUCUUUAUAAUCAUAGUGUCCAAAUACCAUUUCUGACUCCCAGGUGUAACUAGCCCGCCAUAGACACAAAGAAGUAAAUAGCGAAGGCUUCAUCCGUGCAGCAGUGUGCCCUGGGUGGGGAACUUAGUACUUCAUUCCUGGAGCUCAGUUGUAAUGAUAUAUAAUUAUAUAGCUGCUGAUGCGUUGGGGUGGGGGGACAAUUGUGAAUGAACACAAAAAUAGAGGAAAGUUAUUUUGAGUGAUGGUGAAGAGUUUUCAGGCAGGUAAAUGCAGCCCCAGAUCAUGGAAGCUUCGAGUGCAUUGCACAGUGUGACAUCUGGAAGAAUUUGGGUUAUAUGUAUCUAAGUGAUAGCAAUUAGUAACAGAAGUCAGACCGUAAGACAUGUACUUGCUGAUCUCUUUAUGGAAAGGGAAUAAUGACUUUUUGAAGGGUUGAACUUUGAGCAAUUAUGCACAGAGAAACUUAACAAGCUCUUCAUUUACUUUACUGAGUAUAUUUAUAUUAUUACCCAGAAGAGCCAGACUAGUAAGAGCCAAACAAGGACAAGACAUGUGGAAAACAAGAAAAUAAGAGAAUUCAUGCUGAGAGACACCGUAUCAACCACUUGGGGUUUAGAUAAUGUAGCCAUAAAAUGUGUAAUCUAAGCUGUGACUCUUGAGAAUAAAAGCGGGCACUAUUGCAAUGAAACUUUUUCAGCUACAAAAUUAGAGCAUAAGGUUACCCCAGGCUUAGAGCCCCACCAGCUGCUAGUGAGGACUGACCAGUAGACACACGAGUGUGUGCCUGUGCAUGACAUACAAUUUGCUGUGAUUGUUUAUACUUAUGUUAAAUGUUGGUGAACUGCGUGUUGCUCACUCCAUAGCAAAGAUUCAAGUCAUUUGAAUUAGUCUUGUUGUUAGACAUUUUCAUGUUGGAAGAACCCCUUUAGGGGUUGUUAGGAGAGGUACUUGAUCCUGUUUGAAGCUUGUAGUCCCUAUAUUUAUGCUCAAAGAAAGCUUAAUUUUGAUUUUACAAUUUGAAAUGCUAGUUGACCACCAACUUCAUUUUACUUCAUGCUCUGAAAACUCUGGAGUAAAUGCUGAUGACUGAGCUGCUCAUUUAAGUAAAUAUUUAUAUUUGUGCAACCUAUUUAUUUCUAUUCACUACUAAGAGUUAA